CUAACGAGGAUUUCCCUAGUAACGGCGAGUGAAAAGGAAAAAGCCCAGCGCUGAAUCUGUUUAAAUGAUUUGUUUAAAUAGAAAUGUAGCGUAUAGGUAUAGCUAUCCGUAACAUACUUUUACACCCAAAGUCCCCUUGAGCGAGGCCAAUAUCCAUAGAAGGUGCUAGACCUGUACGGGUGAAAAAAGGUUACGGUAUGUUGUACCUUGGAGUCGGGUUGUUUGAGAUUGCAGCCCAAAGAGGGUGGUAAACCUCAUCUAAGGCUAAAUAUGACCACGAGACCGAUAGCAAACAAGUACCGUGAGGGAAAGUUGCAAAGAACUUUGAAGAGAGAGUUCAAGAGGGCGUGAAACCGCUGAGAUGGAAACGGAUAGAGUUAACGAAACUUAUCGGUAUUCAACCAAUCAAUUUAGCAAUCUUCAUUACCGUUCCUUUCAUUUGUAAAUGAAAAUGAUAAUGGAGAAUGAUGUGCUAAAUUUAAGCAAUGAUUGGUGUAUUUACCGAUGGUAUGCAUCGAGAGCUUCGUUUUAGCAUAUUAAUGCAUGAUUUAGUGGACCAAUUAUUUUUUAAUGAUAAUUGGAAUCSUAAAUCGGUUGAGGUAUUGUCUGAGAUGAAGUUUUCCCAAAAUUGUAACCUYUCACUUGAAAUAUUAGUGACAUGCAUCGGUUAUAAUUUGUAUCAAUUACAUUUACAUGUAGUCGCAUGCGACUUUAACGGUAAAUGUUAGSUAAAAGGAAUUGAUAAAAUUAUAACAUCGCGUAUGAAGGUUACAUCUCGAUGUGAACGUUAAUCACCUAUCUGACCCGUCUUGAAACACGGACCAAGGAGU
rnacentral:rRNA from 1 species